rnacentral:tRNA from 1 species
GAAGGGGUAGCUUAAGCUUAAAGCGUUUGACUGUUAAUCAAAAGUUCCUGCGAUUAGGCCUCUUCU